AGUGAACGCUGGCGGUAGGCCUAACACAUGCAAGUCGAACGGCAGCACAGUAAGAGCUUGCUCUUACGGGUGGCGAGUGGCGGAUGGGUGAGGAAUACAUCGGAAUCUACUUUUUCGUGGGGGAUAACGUAGGGAAACUUACGCUAAUACCGCAUACGACCUACGGGUGAAAGCAUGGGAUCUUCGGAUCUUGCGCGAUUGAAUGAGCCGAUGUCGGAUUAGCUAGUUGGCGGGGUAAAGGCCCACCAAGGCGACGAUCCGUAGCUGGUCUGAGAGGAUGAUCAGCCACACUGGAACUGAGACACGGUCCAGACUCCUACGGGAGGCAGCAGUGGGGAAUAUUGGACAAUGGGCGAAAGCCUGAUCCAGCCAUGCCGCGUGGGUGAAGAAGGCCUUCGGGUUGUAAAGCCCUUUUGUUGGGGAAGAAAAGCAGCAGGUUAAUACCCCGCUGUUCUGACGGUACCCAAAGAAUAAGCACCGGCUAACUUCGUG
rnacentral:rRNA from 1 species